GUGCCUAAGGUAUGCAAGUCGAACGAUUCCUGUAUCUUCGGAUACAGGGAGUGGCAAACGGCUGAGUAACGCGUAGGAACCUACCCCAAACUCGAGUAUAGCCCCGCGAAAGCGGGGGUAAUCCUCGAUAGCCCGUGAAGUAUUUUACUUCACGGUAAAGCUUUUGCGGUUUGGGAUGGGCCUGCGUCCUAUCAGGUAGUUGGUGAGGUAAAUGCUCACCAAGCCUAUGACGGGUAGCUGGUCUGAGAGGAUGGUCAGCCAGACUGGGACUGCGACACGGCCCAGACUCCUACGGGAGGCAGCAACUAGGAAUUGUGCGCAAUGGACGAAAGUCUGACGCCGCGACAUCGCGUGGAGGAUGAAGGUCUUCGGAUUGUAAACUCCUUUUCUUACCGAACAAGUUCUGAGUGUAGGUAAGGAAUAAGUGCCUGCUAACCACGUGCCAGAAGCAUCGGUAAUACGUGGGGCGCGAGCGUUAUCCGGAUUUACUGGGCGUAAAGAGAAGCGUAGGCGGCUCAAUAAGUUUGGUGUUAAAUCUUCCGGCUCAACCGGAAACAAGCACCGAAAACUAUCGAGAUUGAGUCGAGUAGGGAAGAGGGGAAUUCCUGGUGGAGCGGUUAAAUGCGUAGAUAUCAGGAGGAAUACCAAGGGCGAAGGCACCUCUUUGGACUCGUACUGACGCUGAGGCUCGAAAGCGUGGGUAGCAAAACGGAUUAGAUACCCGUGUAGUCCACGCCGUAAACGAUCCCUGUUAGAUGU
rnacentral:rRNA from 1 species